AGGACGAACGCUGGCGGCGCGCUUAACACAUGCAAGUCGAGCGAGAACCAGGGCUUCGGCUCUGGGGACAGCGGCGAACGGGUGAGUAACACGUGAGUAAUCUGCCCUCGACACUGGGAUAGCCCGGGGAAACCCGGAUUAAUACCGGAUAGCCUUUCGAGCUCUCGGGCUCGUCAGAAAAGGAUGGCUUCGGCUUUCGGUUGAGGAUGAGCUUGCGGCGGAUUAGCUUGUGGUGAGGUAACGGCUCACCAAGGCGACAAUCCGUAGCUGGUCUGAGAGGACGAUCAGCCACACUGGGACUGAGACACGGCCAGACUCCGUACGGGAGGCAAGCAGUGGGAAUCUUGCGCAAUGAGCGAAAGCUUGACGCAGCGACGCGCGUGAGGAAGACGGCCUUGGUUACGUAAACCUCUUUACGAGGAGGACGAAGCCGACGUCGGACUAA
rnacentral:rRNA from 1 species